rnacentral:rRNA from 1 species
UGAACGCUGGCGGCGUGCUUAACACAUGCAAGUCGAACGGUAACAGGAGAAGCUUGCUUCUUGCUGACGAGUGGCGCACGGGUGAGUAAUGCAUAGGUAACGUGCCCCUUAGUCUGGGAUAGCCACUGGAAACGGUGAAUAAUACCGGAUACUCCUUCUCACUUAAUGUGAGUCGGGAAAGUUUUUCGCUAAGGGAUCGGCCUAUGUCCUAUCAGGUAGUUGGUGAGGUAAAGGCUCACCAAGCCUAUGACGGGUAGCGGGUCUGAGAGGAUGAUCCGCCACACUGGGUACUGAGACACGGACCAGACUCCUACGGGAGGCAGCAGUGGGGAAUAUUGCACAAUGGACGAAAGUCUGAUGCAGCAACGCCGCGUGGAGGAUGACACAUUUCGGUGCGUAAACUCCUUUUAUGUGAGAAGAUAAUGACGGUAUCACAUGAAUAAGCACCGGCCAACUCC